CCUCCCCCACAGUACUGGGAGCAACUUAAUGGACAACAGUAUCUAAAAGCACGAUGACUGAGGGCUAGAGGGAGAGUAUUCAGUAACCCCACCUGGUUACAAUGCAGGAAAACACGAGGCUGCAGUUCACAGUCCGUUGCAGGAGCAGCUCCCACAGCUGAUAUCAAGCAGCAGUGAGCUGGGAUAAAGCCAUGUCAACAACGUUCAAGUGGUCAUGGAGAUCAUUGCGUGAAACAUAGAUGUUGUCCAAAUUAGAGGUCAUCCAAAGGCUAAAACAUUUCCAUAUGCUUCAACUAGGAUCUAUUACACGUCCUCUU